rnacentral:rRNA from 1 species
UACGUAGGGUCCAAGCGUUAAUCGGAAUUACUGGGCGUAAAGCGUGCGUAGGCGGUUUCGCAAGUCCGAUGUGAAAUCCCCGGGCUUAACCUGGGAACUGCGUUGGAAACUACGAAGCUAGAGUGCGGCAGAGGGGGGUGGAAUUCCAGGUGUAGCAGUGAAAUGCGUAGAGAUCUGGAGGAACACCGAUGGCGAAGGCAGCCCCCUGGGCUAGCACUGACGCUGAUACACGAAAGCGUGGGGAGCAAACAGG